UACGUAGGGGGCUAGCGUUGUCCGGAAUCAUUGGGCGUAAAGAGCGUGUAGGCGGUCCGGUAAGUCCGUUGUGAAAGUCAAGGGCUCAACCCUUGAAUGCCGGCGGAUACUGUCGGGCUAGAGUCCGGAAGAGGCAAGUGGAAUUCCCGGUGUAGCGGUGAAAUGCGUAGAUAUCUGGAGGAACACCGGUGGCGAAGGCGGCAUCCUGGACCGACACUGACGCUGAGGAGCGAAAGCCAGGGGAGCAAACGGG
rnacentral:rRNA from 1 species